AACACGUGGGCAACCUGCCUGUAAGUUGGGGAUAACUCCGGGAAACCGGGGCUAAUACCGAAUGAUAAAGUGUGGCGCAUGCCACGCUUUUGAAAGAUGGUUUCGGCUAUCGCUUACAGAUGGGCCCGCGGUGCAUUAGCUAGUUGGUAGGGUAAUGGCCUACCAAGGCAACGAUGCAUAGCCGACCUGAGAGGGUGAUCGGCCACACUGGGACUGAGACACGGCCCAGACUCCUACGGGAGGCAGCAGUAGGGAAUCUUCCGCAAUGGACGAAAGUCUGACGGAGCAACGCCGCGUGUAUGAAGAAGGUUUUCGGAUCGUAAAGUACUGUUGUUAGAGAAGAACAAGGAUAAGAGUAACUGCUUGUCCCUUGACGGUAUCUAACCAGAAAGCCACGGCUAACUACGUGCCAGCAGCCGCGGUAAUACGUAGGUGGCAAGCGUUGUCCGGAUUUAUUGGGCGUAAAGCGCGCGCAGGCGGUCUU
rnacentral:rRNA from 1 species